rnacentral:rRNA from 1 species
UGGGGAAUAUUGGACAAUGGGCGAAAGCCUGAUCCAGCCAUGCCGCGUGUGUGAAGAAGGUCUUCGGAUUGUAAAGCACUUUAAGUUGGGAGGAAGGGUUGUAGAUUAAUACUCUGCAAUUUUGACGUUACCGACAGAAUAAGCACCGGCUAACUCUGUGCCAGCAGCCGCGGUAAUACAGAGGGUGCAAGCGUUAAUCGGAAUUACUGGGCGUAAAGCGCGCGUAGGUGGUUAGUUAAGUUGGAUGUGAAAUCCCCGGGCUCAACCUGGGAACUGCAUUCAAAACUGACUGACUAGAGUAUGGUAGAGGGUGGCGGAAUUUCCUGUGUAGCGGUGAAAUGCGUAGAUAUAGGAAGGAACACCAGUGGCGAAGGCGGGUAGCUGGGCCAACACUGACGCUGAGACGCGAAAGCUAGGGGAGCAAACGGGAUUAGAUACCCGAGUAGUCCCUGA